GUUUAUCUGUGUGUGGAUGAUGUUCAUCACCAGGGACAGGCAUAUUUACCUGUGUGUGGAUGGUGUUCAGUAUCAAGGAUAGGUAUGCUACCUU
rnacentral:pre_miRNA from 1 species